rnacentral:rRNA from 12 species
UGCUGGAGGUAUCAGAAGUGCGAAUGCUGACAUAAGUAACGAUAAAGCGGGUGAAAAGCCCGCUCGCCGGAAGACCAAGGGUUCCUGUCCAACGUUAAUCGGGGCAGGGUGAGUCGACCCCUAAGGCGAGGCCGAAAGGCGUAGUCGAUGGGAAACGGGUUAAUAUUCCCGUACUUGGUGUUACUGCGAAGGGGGGACGGAGAAGGCUAUGUUGGCCGGGCGACGGUUGUCCCGGUUUAAGCGUGUAGGUGUGUGUUCCAGGUAAAUCCGGUUCACUUUAACACUGAGGCGUGACGACGAGGCACUACGGUGCUGAAGCAACAAAUGCCCUGCUUCCAGGAAAAGCCUCUAAGCAUCAGGUAACACGAAAUCGUACCCCAAACCGACACAGGUGGUCAGGUAGAGAAUACCAAGGCGCUUGAGAGAACUCGGGUGAAGGAACUAGGCAAAAUGGUGCCGUAACUUCGGGAGAAGGCACGCUGACACGUAGGUGAAGUGAUUUACUCAUGGAGCUGAAGUCAGUCGAAGAUACCAGCUGGCUGCAACUGUUUAUUAAAAACACAGCACUGUGCAAACACGAAAGUGGACGUAUACGGUGUGACGCCUGCCCGGUGCCGGAAGGUUAAUUGAUGGGGUCAGCGCAAGCGAAGCUCCUGAUCGAAGCCCCGGUAAACGGCGGCCGUAACUAUAACGGUCCUAAGGUAGCGAAAUUCCUUGUCGGGUAAGUUCCGACCUGCACGAAUGGCGUAAUGAUGGCCAGGCUGUCUCCACCCGAGACUCAGUGAAAUUGAACUCGCUGUGAAGAUGCAGUGUACCCGCGGCAAGACGGAAAGACCCCGUGAACCUUUACUAUAGCUUGACACUGAACAUUGAGCCUUGAUGUGUAGGAUAGGUGGGAGGCUUUGAAGUGUGGACGCCAGUCUGCAUGGAGCCGACCUUGAAAUACCACCCUUUAAUGUUUGAUGUUCUAACGUGGACCCGUAAUCCGGGUUGCGGACAGUGUCUGGUGGGUAGUUUGACUGGGGCGGUCUCCUCCUAAAGAGUAACGGAGGAGCACGAAGGUUGGCUAAUCCUGGUCGGACAUCAGGAGGUUAGUGCAAUGGCAUAAGCCAGCUUGACUGCGAGCGUGACGGCGCGAGCAGGUGCGAAAGCAGGUCAUAGUGAUCCGGUGGUUCUGAAUGGAAGGGCCAUCGCUCAACGGAUAAAAGGUACUCCGGGGAUAACAGGCUGAUACCGCCCAAGAGUUCAUAUCGACGGCGGUGUUUGGCACCUCGAUGUCGGCUCAUCACAUCCUGGGGCUGAAGUAGGUCCCAAGGGUAUGGCUGUUCGCCAUUUAAAGUGGUACGCGAGCUGGGUUUAGAACGUCGUGAGACAGUUCGGUCCCUAUCUGCCGUGGGCGCUGGAGAACUGAGGGGGGCUGCUCCUAGUACGAGAGGACCGGAGUGGACGCAUCACUGGUGUUCGGGUUGUCAUGCCAAUGGCACUGCCCGGUAGCUAAAUGCGGAAGAGAUAAGUGCUGAAAGCAUCUAAGCACGAAACUUGCCCCGAGAUGAGUUCUCCCUGAGACUUAGAGUCUCCUGAAGGAACGUUGAAGACGACGACGUUGAUAGGCCGGGUGUGUAAGCGCAGCGAUGCGUUGAGCUAACCGGUACUAAUGAACCGUGAGGCUUAACCUU